rnacentral:rRNA from 1 species
UGCAGUCGAACGAUGAUGCCCAGCUUGCUGGGCGGAUUAGUGGCGAACGGGUGAGUAAUACGUGAGUAACCUGCCCUUGACUCUGGGAUAAGCCUGGGAAACUGGGUCUAAUACUGGAUACUACCUCUCACCGCAUGGUGGGUGGUGGAAAGGGUUUUACUGGUUUUGGAUGGGCUCACGGCCUAUCAGCUUGUUGGUGGGGUAAUGGCUCACCAAGGCGACGACGGGUAGCCGGCCUGAGAGGGUGACCGGCCACACUGGGACUGAGACACGGCCCAGACUCCUACGGGAGGCAGCAGUGGGGAAUAUUGCACAAUGGGCGGAAGCCUGAUGCAGCGACGCCGCGUGAGGGAUGACGGCCUUCGGGUUGUAAACCUCUUUCAGUAGGGAAGAAGCGAGAGUGACGGUACCUGCAGAAGAAGCGCCGGCUAACUACGUGCCAGCAGCCGCGGUAAUACGUAGGGCGCAAGCGUUGUCCGGAAUUAUUGGGCGUAAAGAGCUCGUAGGCGGUUUGUCGCGUCUGCUGUGAAAGCCCGGGGCUCAACCCCGGGUCUGCAGUGGGUACGGGCAGACUAGAGUGCAGUAGGGGAGACUGGAAUUCCUGGUGUAGCGGUGAAAUGCGCAGAUAUCAGGAGGAACACCGAUGGCGAAGGCAGGUCUCUGGGCUGUUACUGACGCUGAGGAGCGAAAGCAUGGGGAGCGAACAGGAUUAGAUACCCUGGUAGUCCAUGCCGUAAACGUUGGGCACUAGGUGUGGGGGA